GAGUUUGAUCCUGGCUCAGGACGAACGCUGGCGGCGUGCUUAACACAUGCAAGUCGAACGGAAAGGCCCUGCUUGCAGGGUACUCGAGUGGCGAACGGGUGAGUAACACGUGGGUGAUCUGCCCUGCACUUCGGGAUAAGCCUGGGAAACUGGGUCUAAUACCGGAUAGGACCAUCGUUUAGUGUCGGUGGUGGAAAGUUUUUCGGUGCAGGAUGAGCUCGCGGCCUAUCAGCUUGUUGGUGGGGUAAUGGCCUACCAAGGCGUCGACGGGUAGCCGGCCUGAGAGGGUGGACGGCCACAUUGGGACUGAGACACGGCCCAGACUCCUACGGGAGGCAGCAGUGGGGAAUAUUGCACAAUGGGCGCAAGCCUGAUGCAGCGACGCCGCGUGGGGGAUGAAGGCCUUCGGGUUGUAAACUCCUUUCAACCAUGACGAAGCAUUAUGUGACGGUAGUGUAGAAAAAGGAA
rnacentral:rRNA from 1 species